GAUGAAGAACGCAGCGAAAUGCGAUAAGUAAUGUGAAUUGCAGAAUUCAGUGAAUCAUCGAAUCUUUGAACGCAUCUUGCGCUCCUUGGUAUUCCAUGGAGCAUGCCUGUUUGAGUGUCACGUAAACCCUCACGCCUGCGAUGUCAAAGUCGCGGGUCGUGGACUUGGACCGUGCCGUAGUCGGCUCGUCCUUUGAAAUGCAUUAGCUUGCGCUGGUUAGAGUGCUCGGCAUGGUGUGAUAAUUAUCUGCGCCGUCGCCUUAGGCCUCUUCUGUGUGCGCUGCUUCCAAUCGUCCCCCUGCGGACAAUUAUUUUUAAGCUUUGGCCUCAAAUCAGGUAGGACUACCCGCUGAACUUAAGCAUAUCAAUAAGCGGGAGGA
rnacentral:misc_RNA from 1 species